GAUGAACGCUGGCGGCGUGCCUAAUACAUGCAAGUCGAGCGAACAGACGCUGAGCUUGCUCCUCUGACGUUAGCGGCGGACGGGUGAGUAACACGUGGAUAACCUACCUAUCUGACUGGGAUCACUUCGGGAAACCGGCGCUAAUACCGGAUAAUAUAUUGAACCGCAUGGUUCAAUAGUGAAAGACGGUUUUGCUGUCACUUAUCGAUGGAUCUGAGCCGCAUUAGCUAGUUGGUAAGGUAACGGCUUACCAAGGCGACGAUGCGUAGCCGACCGGAGAGGGGGGUCGGCCACACUGGAAGUGAGACAGGGACCAGAGUACUACGGGAGGCAGCAGAAGGGAAUCUUCCGCAACGGGCGAGAGCCUGGCGGAGCAGCGCGGCGUGAGAGAUGAAGGUCAUCGGAUCGUGAAACUCUGUUAUGAGGUAAGAACAAAUGUGGAAGUAAAUAUGCACGUCUUGACGGUAACGAAUAAGAAAGCCACGGCUAACUACGUG
rnacentral:rRNA from 1 species